GGGCUACACAGGCUAUAGAAAAUGUACGAUGCUCUAAACACCAGAAUAGUCUAAUAUAAGAAGAACGGAAUAGCAACUAGCUAACUAUAGAUACAUGUGAGGGAGACUCUUCAGAUCCACGGACGCGGCAGAUGCAUACCUCAAGUCUCCGAGUAUAGCUCCCUGAUCACUGAUAGUGCGCCCGACCAGAAGUACCUGGAUCUGCACAUGAAAAACAUGCGCAGAAGAUGCAUGAGUAUACCAGAACGAUAGAUCCACAUGAAAAACAUGCGCAGAAGAUGCAUGAGUAUACCAGAACGAUACUCAGUAAGUGCCAAGCCUAACCUCGGUCGAGUAGUGACGAGGAAGGUUAGGUCCCCACUGAGAAUAAACAUGAUAACAAUAAUGAACAACAAAAGGCAGAGAAUAAUCAGGAAAGACAACGAUAAAAAUAGGAUAGAAGCUGCAAGUCAAUGACAAUUAAGCUAAGUAAGGAAAAUAACACAACAAGAUGUCACUAAAUAUCAGAGUGCCAUAUGGACCCUCCCGGGAUACUGUAUGGUGGUUCUUUUUCACUCAACUAUCUGGUGAAUAUCCCGGGAAUCUAACCCGUAGUCCAUCGCAUCUGAAUAUUUGGAGGAUCUCCCGAAAAUCGAACCCGUAGUCCAUUAUACCAAUGUCUGGAGGAUCUCCCGGGAAUCAAACCCGUAGCCCAUAACAUCAAUUUCUGGAGGAUAUACCAGGAAUCGAACUCGUAGUCCAUCAUACCAAUAUCUGGAGAAUCUCCCGGGAAUCAAACCCGCAGUCCAUCAUAUUAAUUUCUAUAGGAUCUCCCGGGAAUCGAACCCGUAGUCCAUCAUAUCAAUUAAAAAAUGCAACCACAACCAAGAAUUUAUAGGAAAAAUCAAAUAUGCAACAACAGCAAAUAGGAAUGACUAACCUAGCAUGCUUCACGUAGUAAAAUUUAGGAAAAUAAGCAAUUAAGCAAUUAAUUCUAUCUAAUCAUGUUUUACUAAUCAACGCAGAUAAAUCUUGCAUUUGAAAGCAGUCAAAUAAAUGGAGAAACAUAGUUUAAACAACUCAAAUAAAGUGGAUUUUUCAACAAUUACCGCAAGUACAUGCUCGUCACCUUGCGUACAAGGCUUUUAAAUCAGCAGAUAAUAAGUCCUAGGGGGAGAGGUCCCCCACACAAGGUUAGAGAAGCCACUUUCCUCAAACCGGUGCAAAAUCAAUAAGGAACGAUGCCCUUGCCACGAGUAUCCAACUCCGAGUGGCCCAAAUUUAUUCAAACCAAUUACAUAUUAUAAAUAACAUCGCAUGUAACCAAUUCCACUAUUAAAAUUAAAGCUAAGACGCGAAAAUAGGUAAAAUGAUCGAAGUGCUCCUUAGGCUAAUGUAUCGGAACCGAAUAAUUUUCACAUUUUCAGAAACCUCGUACUCUCACGAGUCUAACCAUAUAAAUAUAUCAGAAAUCGGAAGUCGAACGCCCCCUCAAAACCCAAUAGUUUAGUCAAUGAACUUCCACCCAGAUUCUCCCAUUUUUGAUCCAUUAUUCAAAUUUAAAUGAUAAUUAUAACUAGAAAUGAUGGUAGAAACAUUACCUAAUAAUCUCCUCCUCGAUAACCUCUCAAAAUUGCCUUUGCCCGAGCUCAAAAUUGAUUUUUCCAAAUUUUGAAAUAUGCCUCGGAUAAAUUCUUAUCGUAUAAAUGAUUUCCGGUUUUGCGGUCCAGGGACAGUUUCUGCGGUCUAGGGACCGCUUCUGCAGAAAAUCCACCGCAUUUGCGGUUUCAUUUAACAGAGCUGGAGUCCGCUUCUCCGGACCUUCCAUCGCAUGUCCAAUUCCGCAUGUGCCGAUAACUGACCGCUUCUGCAGUCUUGGAGAAAGACAGGGCCAACUUGCUUUUGCGGUGCGAGGACCGCUUAUGCGGUUCCCAAGCAGCAGAAGAAAAAACAAUAGAAGCUUGCUACAAUUUCCUUCCAACUUCCAAAACUAACCCGUCGAGCACCCGAAACAAACCCAAGGACCCCGAGACCUUCAACCAAAAAUACCAACACCACCUAAUACCUUAUUUAGACUCCUUCCAACCCCUAAAAUACCCAAAAAAACACUGAAACCUCGAUUAAAUCAAAGAUUCAAGCCUAAGAACUUCAAGUUCAUCCAAAACACGCCUUCGAUAUAAAACUAAAUUAACUCUCUUCCGAUUGAUCUGAAAUUGCACACAUGUCCCAAAUGGCGUGACGGUGCUACAUCAACUUCCAAAAUCCCGUUCCGACCUUCGAAUAAAAAAUUCACUAUCGGACCGAAACCCUUCAAAUUCUAACUUUCGGCAUUUCUAGCCUAAAUUAGCUAUGAACAUCCAAAUUAAAUUCCAAAGAGACUCCCAAUCCCAAAAUAUGUUAACGGAGCUAAUACAACCAUCAGAUUCCUAUUUCGAGGUUGUCUUCACACUGUUUCGGUUACGGGCCAUUUUCCAAUACUUAUGCUCUCAUUUAGGGACUAAGUGUCCCAAAAUACCCCGAAUUCUAUCAUCGAACGUCCCGUCAAACAAAAAUAGCAGAAAUAAACUUAAGGGAAGCAGUUAAUGGGGAAACGAGGCAUAAGUUCCGGAGACGAUCGUCCGGGUCUCACAUCCUCCUACACUUAAACAUUCGUUCGUCCUCGAACGAGCAUGGAGAACAUACCUGAAGUAGCAAAAAGAUGAGGGUAUCGACUGCGCGUACCACGCUCGGUCUCCGAAGUCGCCUCUUUGGCCGGCUAACCCCGCCACUGAACCUUUGCUGAAGCUAUAUCCUUUGACCUGAGCUUUCGGACUUGCCUGUCUAAUAAAUCCACUAGCUCUUCAACAUAGGACAAGACAUUGUCCAAUUGGACUAAAGUGAACUCCAACACGUGAGACGGGUCACCAUGAUACCUCUGAAACAUUUAGAUAUGAAAUACCGGAUGAACCCUGGCCAAACUGGGAGGUAAGGCAAGCUCAUAAGCAACCUCCUCAACUCGCUUCAAAAUACCAAAAGGGCCAAUGAACGUCAGACUCAACUUUCCUUUUGUACCAAACCUCAUGACGCCUUUCAUAGGCAAGACCCAAAGCAGAACCUGGUCACCAACCAUAAAGAAAACAUCACGAACCUUCCGGUCCGCGUAACUCUUCUGUCUGGACUGGGUCGUACGAAGUCUAUCCUCAAUUACCUUAAAAUUCUCGACCGUAUCCUUGACCAAUUCAGUGCCCAAUAGCCUGGCCUCACCCGGCUCAAACCAACCCACCGGGGAUCUGCAUCUCCUACCAUAUAAAGCCUUAUACGGUGCCAUUUGAAUGCCGGACUGAUAAUCAUUGUUGUAAGCAAACUCCACCAAUGGCAAGAACUGAUCCCAAGACCCUCCAAACUCAAUCACACAUGCACGAAAUAUCCUAAGGAAUCUAUAUAGUGCGCUCGGACUGUAUGUCCCUCUGGGGGUGAAAUGCUGUGCUCAUCGUCGGCGCCAUCUGAAUGAUAGACUGAUAACUGUUGUUGUACGCAAACUCAGCCAAUGGCAAGAACUUAUCCCAGGAACCUCUAAUCUCAAUCACACACGCUCGGAGCAUAUAUCCAAGAAUCUGAAUUGUGCGCUCGGAGUGUCCGUCUAUCACUGGGUGAAAAGUUUUACCCAUAGUCACCUGGGUGCCCAACUCCUGCUAGAUGGAUCUCCAGAAUCUUAAUGUAAACACUAAACCCCUGCCUGAGAUUAUAGAAACUAGAAUGCCGUGAAGACGGACAAUCUCCGUGAUUCCCCGCUAACCGCUUCGCUGAGUACGAAGUACGCACUGUAAUGAAAUGAGCGAAUUGGUAGCCGAUCUACAACAACCCAAAUAGAAUCAAAUUUUUUCGUCGUCAGAGGGAGACUAGAUACAAAAUCCAUAGUGAUAUUCUCCUAUUUCCACUCCGGAAUCUCCAUCUGCUGGAGUAACCCUCUCGGUGUCUGGUGCUCAGCUUAUACCUGCUGAUAGUUGAAUCAUCUAGCUCAAACUCUGCUAUGUUCUUGUUCAUCCGCCUCCUCCAGUAAUGCUGCCUAAGAUGCUGAUACAUAUUCGUGGCACCCAGAUGAAUAGAGUACCCGCGAGCUAUGGGCCUCUAUCAAUAUCAACUCCCGAAUAUCAUCAACAUCGAGUACACAUAUCCUACCCUGCAUCAUCAAUACCCCCUCAUCUCCAAUAGUCACAUCCCUAGCAUCGCCAUUGUAAAUUGUAUCCUUGAAGACAAGAAAAUGAGGGUCAUCAUACUGCCUCUCCUUGAUACGAUCAAACAAUGAAGACCGAGAAACCACACAGGCUAGAGCCCGACUGCGCUCCGAAAGGUCCAAUCUCAGGAACUGACUGGCUAAGGCCUGAUCAUCAAUCGCCAUAGGUCUCCCUGAAUCUGGUAAAUAUGCCAAACUCCCAAAAUCUCCGCCAGGCGACUCAAGCCAUCGACUACUACAUUGGCCUUGCUCGGGUGAUAUAGAAUAGUAAUAUAAUAGUCCUUCAGUAGCUCUAACCACCUCCUCUGGCACAUGUUCAAAUCCUUCUGCUUGAACAAGCGCUGUAAGCUCCGAUGAUCCGUGUAAAUCUCACAAGGCAGGCCGUACAAAUAAUGAUGCCAAAUCUUCAAGACAUGAACAAUAGCAGCUAACUCAAGGUCAUGGACAUGAUAGUUCUUUUCAUGUACCUUCAACUCUCUGGACGCGUAGGCAAGCACCCUACCAUCCUGCAUCAACAUCGCUCCAAGUCAGACUCGUGAGGCAUCACAAUAAACUCUAUAGGACCCCAAACCUGUAGCAAAAAUCAAAAUAAGGUCUUAAGUCAAAGUUGUCUAGAGCUUCUGAAAGCUCCCCUCACACUCGUCUAUCCACUGAAGGGAGCACCCUUCUGGGUCAAUCUAGUCAUAAGGGCUGCAAUCGAUGAGAACCCCUCCACAAAACGACGGUAAUACCCCGCCAGGCCAAGGAAACUGCGGAUCUUAUAGUUGAGAAGGCCCUGAGCCAACUCUGUACGGCCUCCACCUUCUUCGAAUCUACCUAAAUGCCUUCACUCGAUACCAUGUGCCCUAGGAAUGCCACAGAACUCAACCAAAACUCACACUUUGAGAACUUCGCAUAUUAUUUCUUUUCUCUCAAGGUCUGAAGCAGUGUCCUCAGGUGCUGCUCAUGAUCUUCCCGACUCCGGAAAUAUACAAGAAUAUCAUCUAUGAAAACAAUGACAAAUGAGUCGAGAUAGGGACUAAAUACACUGUGCAUCAAAUGCAUCUAAUCUGUUAGGGCGUUGGUUAGCCCAAAUGACAUGACGAGGAAAUUGUAAUGACCAUACCGAGUCCCGAACGUAGUCUUUGUGAUAUUCGGCUCCUGAAUCUUUAACUGGUGGUAACCUGAGCGCAAAUCAAUCUUAGAAAACACCUAUACACCUUGAAACUGGUCAAAUAGAUCAUCGAUACGAGGCAAAGGAUAUUAGUUCUUCGCUGUAACCUUGUUCAACUGAUGAUAAUCAAUACAAGUUUGCAUAGAACCAUCCUUUUUUAGGAAAAAGAUAGGAGCACCCCACGGUGAAACAUGGGGUCAAAUAAAACCAUUAUCAAGCAAUUCCUGUAACUGAUCCUCCAACUCCUUCAACUAAGGAGGAGCCAUACGGUAAGGAGGAACGGAUAUGCUAAGUUCCUGACAACAAAUCAAUACAAAAAUAAAUAUCCCGAUCGGGCCGCACGCUAGGAUGAUCAACUGGGAACACAUCGGGGAAAUCCCGUACCAUUAGAACAGAGUCAACAGAAGGGGUAUCAGCAUUGACAUCUCUCACGUAAGCUAAAUAUGCGGCGCACCCUUUAUCAACCAUACACCAAGCUUUAAGAAAAGAUAUAACUCUACUGGGAGUGUGACCUAAAGUACCAUUCCAAUCAGUAGAGGAAUACUUGGCAUAGCCAGCAUCACGGUCUUAGCGUGUCAAUCAAGAAUAGCAUACUGGGAAGACAACUGGUCCAUGCCUAAGAUAAUAUCGAAAUCAACCAUGUCGAGUAAUAAAAGAUCUGCCCUUGUGUGAAAACCACGAAUAGUGACCAAACAUGACCGAUAUACGCGGUCCAUAUAAAGGCAAUCUCCCACGGGAGUAGAAACAUAAACUGGAGAGCUCAAGGUCUCUUGAGCUGUACCCAAAUGUAGUGAAUAAUAAGAUGACACAUAAGAAUAAAUAGAGCCUGGAUCCAAUAGAACCGAUGCCUCUCUGUGACUAACCAAUAUAAUACCUAUGAUAAUAGAAUAAGAGGCGACAAUCGUGGCACGAUCAGGAAUAGCAUAAAAUCUAGCCCGGCCCCUCCCUCGAGGGCGACCUCUAUCUCCCCGAUCCCUGCCUCUAGCUGGCUGGGAAGUUGGGGUGGCAGCUGGAGCUGGAACGAUGGCCUGCUGACCCUGUAGAGCAUGCUGAGGCUGUGGAGUCUAAGAAGGUGCACCCCUCCCACGUUUGGACCCCUCCUAACCAUAUGGCGUGUAUCCCCACACUCAUAACAAGCUAUGGGAAGGCGCGGUAAGGGUCCCCCAUGAAGGAGGCACACUAGAAACUGGAGGUGCAUAAUAAGGGUCCUGAGAUCUAGGGGGAGCUGCAGUACAGUUGGAUGAAGGAAGAGCUGAGUGAAUUGGGCGAUUCCGUAUAGCCUAUACCAUGAGGUUCUACUGCUAAUGUACGGGGUACUAGAGUAAUGACCCGACUCCUAAGACCUCUUGGCCUCCAUAUCCUCUCGCUCUCUGCGUGCAUACCCUCUACCCUCCUGGCUAUGCUCAUUACCUGCUGAUAGGGCAUGUCCAUCACCAACGCUCAAGCCCUGCCAGACCUGAUGGGAGGAAUAAGACCCUCAAUAAACCAGCGAACCCUCUCACGAACAGUGGCUACGAAAGCUGGUGCAUGUCUGGCCAACCUGGUAUAACGGAUGGCAUACUCAGAGACAGUCAUAGGGCCCUAGUGCAAAUGCUCAAACUACACGCGCCAUGCAUCUCGGAGGCUCUGGGGAAAAAACUCCCUCUGAAACAUAUCUGAAAACUGAGUCCAAGCCAGGGAGGCAGCCUCGUCCGCACUGUCUAAUUGAAAGCUGCACCACCAACCAUAUUCGUCUUCCUAAAGCUAGAAAGCUGCAACAGACCCCGCUCGAGGCAGUAAUACCCAUGGUGCGAAAGAUGCGUUGACAAUCCUCCAAAAACCCUAAAGCAUCAUCCGUAGCUAGUAUGUUGAAAAUAGGAGGGUCAUACUUCUUGAACCUCUCCAGUCUACGCUGCUCAUCCUCAGAAGCAGGUGCCCCAUCCUCGGACUGAACCGGUACUGCAGGCUGGAUGGAAAUAAUACCGGGAAUCUAUCCCAUAUGCACCCUCUGCUCCGCAGUGCGGGCUGCGGGAGUCUGGGUUCCUCCUCCGGCCUGGUACAUGGCUGCAGGAAGGGGAAGCAACCCUUCCUGUGAUAGAGUAGUAUACAUGCUCAUAAACUGUGCCUAUGCCUCCAGAACAGCUAGAGUAGUGGUAGUUGUGGACGUGUCAGGUGCCUGAGUCCUGGUUUGAUCUGCUGGAGGCACUUCGGCUGCAGCUCGCUUUCUCUGGCUGCACCAUGCGCGCGUCCACGACCCCUGUCUCUAGCAACUACAGGUAGGGGUGCGGGUACCGGAGCGUCAUGGGUCGUGCGUGUCCUCACCAUCCGUGGGAGAAUAGAAAAUAGAAGCUUAGAGUCGAUGUAUAUAACUUAGCACAACAGGGAAUUCAAUGAAGUUACAAUUUUUUCUAAACAGUUAUAUAACCUCUCGUUGAUAAGUGCAGACGUCUCUGUACUGAUCACCGAGACUCUAUUAAACAUGCCUAUGUCCCGUGACUCCUAUGAACCUAGAGCUCUAAUAACAACUUGUCACGACCUUAGUUCAGCAACUGUGAACCUGUCAGGACGGCACCUAGUCUUGCGACUAGGUAAGCCUACCACAUUCCAGAAUUAAAAAUCUCUAUGAAGAAUAACAACAGAAUACCGAAUGAUAUAAAGAAAUGUAUACCGAAAAUUAUAAAAAUGCAUAGAGUUGUCGUCUAGCACAAUACACUGAAAUACCAGAUACUGUAAAUAAUCUCCCAAAACCCCGGAAUCCCACGGGCUACACAGGCUAUAGAAAAUGUAUGAUUCUCUAAACACCAGAAUAGAGUAAUACAAGAAGAACGGAAUAGCAACCAGCUAACUAUAGGUAGAACGAGAGGGAGACUCUUCAGAUCUGCAGACGCGGCAUAUGCAUACCUCAAGUCUCCGAGUAUAGCUUCUGUCACUGAUAGUGCGCCUGGCCAGAAGUACCUGGAUUUGCACAUGAAAAACAUGUGCAGAGGAGGCAUGAGUACACCACAACGGUACUCAGUAAGUGCCAAGCCUAACCUCGGUCGAGUAGUGACGAGGAAGUUCAGGGCCCUACUGAGAAUAAAUAUGAUAACAAUAAUGAACAGUGUAAGGCGGAGAAUAAUUAGGAAAGACAACGGUAAAAAUAGGAUAGAAGCUGAAAGUCGAUGACAAUUAAGCUAAGUAACGAAAAUAACACAAUAAGAUGUCACUAAUUAUCAGGGUGCCAUAUGGACCCUCCCAGGAUGCCGUCCUAAGGUCCUUUUCCCUCAUUUAUCCAGUGGAUCUCCCAGUAAUCGAACCUGUAGUUUAUCAUACCAAUGUCUAGAGGAUCUUCCGGGAAUCGAACCCAUAGUCGAUCAUACCAAUAUCUGGAGACUCUCUUGGGAAUCGAAGCCGUAGCCAAUCAUAUCACUUUUUGGAGGAGGUCUCGGGAAUCAAACCCGUAGUCCAUCAUAUCAAUUUAAAUGAUCAACCACAACGAAGAAUUUACAAGAAAAAUCAAAUAUGGAACAACAACAAUUAGGUAUGACUAACCUAGCAUGCUUCACGUAGUACAAUUUAGGUAAAUAAGCAAUUUAGCAAUUAAUUAUAACCACAACGAAGAAUUUACAAGAAAAAUCAAAUAUGGAACAACAACAAUUAGGUAUGACUAACCUAGCAUGCUUCACGUAGUACAAUUUAGGCAAAUAAGCAAUUAAGCAAUUAAUUAUAUCCAAUCAUCUUUUUCUAAUAAAUGCAUAUAAAUCUUGCGUUUGAAAGCAGUCAAAUAAAUAGAGAAACAUAGAUUAAACAUCUCAAAUAAAGUGGACUUUUCAACAAUUAGCGCAAGUACACCCUCGUCACCUCGCGUACAAGGCUUUUAAAUCGGCAAGUAAGAAUUCCUAAGGGGAGAGGUCCCCCACACAAGGUUAGACAAGGCACUUACCUCAAACCGGUGCAAAAUCAAUAAGAAACGAUGCCCUUGCCACGAGUAUCCGACUCCGAAUGGCCCAAAUCUUUUCAAUCCAAUUACAUAAUUUAAAUAACAUUGAAAGUAACCAAUUCCACUAUUAAAUUAAGGCUAAGGCGUGAAAAUAGGUAAAAUGACCAAAACGCCCCACAUGCCAAUGUCUCGGAACCAAAUAAUUUUCACAUUUUUAGAAAUCUCGUACUCUUACGAGUCUAACCAUAUAAAAAUCUCAGAAAUCGGAGGCCGAAUGCCUCCUCAAAACCUAAUAGUUUAGUCAAUUAACUUCCAUCCAAAUUCUUCCAUUAUUUAUCCUUAAUUUGAAUUUAAAUGAUGGAUUUAACUACUAAAUGACUGAUUAUACGUAGAAAGGAUCAAAAAAAUGGUACCCAAUAAUCUCCUCUUCGAAACCCUCUCAAAAUCGCCUAUUCCCGAGCUCAAAAUUAUUUUUUCCAACUUUUGAAAUUAAGACUCAGAUAAACCCUCGUCAUAUCAGUGAUUUCUGCUUUUGCGGUCCCGCUUAUGCGGAAAAUCCACCGCAUUUGCUGUUUCACUUAACAGAGCCUGAGUCCGCUUAUGCGGACCUUCCACCGCAUCUGCAGUUUCGCAUGUGCGGAUAACUUACCGCUUCUGUGGUCUCAAAGGAAAAAGGGGCCAACUCGCUUUUGCGGUGCGAGGACCGAUUAUGCGGUGUAACUUCUGCGGUUCCCAAGCCGCAGAAGCAAAAACAGAAGCCUGCUGCAAUUUCCUUCCAACUUACAAAACUAACCCGUUGAGCACCUGAAACAUAACCGAGGCCCUCGGGAUCUCAACCAUAAACACCAAUACCACCUAAUACCUUAUUUAGACUUGUGCCAAUCCCUAAAACAUCUAAAACAGCACCGAAACCUCAAUUAAAUCAAAGAUUCAAGACUAAGAACUUCAAGCUCAUCCAAAACACGCCUUCAAUCCAAAACCUAAUCAACACUUAUCUGAUUGACCUGAAACUUUGCACGCACGUCCCAAAUGACGUGAUGGUGCUACAGCAACUUUCGGAAUCCCGUUCCGACCCUCGGAUCAAAAAUUCACUAUCGGACCGAAACUCUCUUAAUUUUAACUUUCAGCAUUUCUAGCCUAAAUGAGCUACGGACAUCCAAAAUAGAUUCCGAACAUGCUCCCAACCCUGAAUCACCUAACGGAGCUAACAUAAUCAUCAAAUUCCAAUUCCGAGGUCAUCUUCACACUGUUUUGACUACAGACUAUUUUCCAACGCUUAAGCUCUCAUUAAGGGACUAAGUGUUCCAAAACACAACGAAUUCUAUCAUCGAACGUCCCGGCAAACCAAAAUAGCAGAAAUGAACUCAAGGGAAGCAGUUAAUGGGAAAUUAGGGCAUAAAUUUCAAAGAUGACCGGCCGGGUCGUCUCAUUAUUCAAACUUUUUCCAAUCAUCAAAACACCUCAAACAAUAUCAAAUCACCCAAAACACAACGAAUUCAAGCCAAACUUUAUAAAAUCUUCCAAAUUCUGUUUUUGAUAAAAAAACCCAACCAAACCAUGUUCGAAUGACAUGAAAUUUUUCACAAAUAUCCUGAAUAACCCAUUGGAACUACUGAGACUCUCAGAAUUAUGUUCCGACUCCUAUAUCAAAAUCUCGCCUACCAACUAGAAAUCGCCAAAAUAUCAACUUUGCCAAUUCAAGUCUAAACCUACUCAGAACCUUCAAACCCCAUUCCGAUCACAUUCAUAAGUCAUAAAUUACCUCUCGAAGCUAACCGAUCCUUGAAAUUCAUAUCCUAGACCUCUAAAACAUAAAUCAAUAUCUGGUUGACUUUUCCAACUCAAAAUUCCUUAAAAGAGACUAAGUGCCUCAAACUUUACCAAAAUUAUUCUAGAUUUGAUCCGACCAAUCCCGAUGUCACAAAACACAGAUAAAAAUGCAUAAAUAAGAGGAAAUGGGCUAAACCAAAUCCGCCCCAACUUAAACAAAUGUUCGUCCUAGAACGAGUCAAGAAACAUAAUUGAAGCCUCAAACAGAUGAGGACAUAUACUCUCCAUCUCCCGCUCGAUCUCCCAGGUAGCCUCCUCCAUGGGCUGACGUAUAUACAACAUUUUCACUGAAGCUAUAUCCUUUGACCUCAGCUACCGAACCCGACGACCCGAAAUAGCUAUUGGAUCGACCGAUCAUAGGUCGAAUCGUCAUCCAACUGAACCGUGCUGAAAUCAAAACAUGAGAAGGAUCCCUAAUAUACUUCAGGAGGAUAGAAACAUGAAAUACCGGAUGCACACUCAACAAGCUAGGUUUCAAGGCAAGCUCAUAAGACACCUCCCUAAUCCUCUGAAGCACCUCAAAAGGCCCAAUGAACAUACUCAAUUUUCCUUUCUUCCCAAAUCUCAUAUCACCCUUCAUGGGUGAAACCUUCAACCGAACCUACUCGACAACAUGUAGGACACAUAUCGAACCUUCAUAUCAACAUAACUCUUUUUCCUCUACUGCGCUGUAUGAAGCCUCUCUUGAAUCACCUUCACCAUGUCCAAAGAAUCCUUCCCCAAAUCAGUCCUCAAUAGCCUAGCCUCGCUCGGCUCAAACCAACCAACUGAAGAUAUACACUGCCUCCCAUACAAAGCCUCAUAUGGAGCCAUCUGAAUACUCGACUAGUUGCUGUUAUUAUAAGCAAACUCUACAAGCGGUAGAAAUGCAUCCCAUGACCCUUCGAAAUCAAUGACACAAGAACACAACAUGUCUUCCACUAUCUGCAUAGUACGCUUAGACUGCCCGUCCAUCCGAGGAUUAAAAGAUGUGCUCAAUUCAACCUGAGUACACAACUCUCUCUGCACGCCCCCCAAAACUGAAAAGUAAGCUGAGUUCCCCUUUCUGAAAUGAUGGAAACCGGGAAACCAUGCAAACGGACAAAUCUCUGGGAUAUAGAUCCAUGGCAACCUCUAUGAUGAAUAGGUAGUACACACUGGAAUGAAGUGUGCGGACUUCGUCAACCAAUCCACAAUCACCCAAACAGCAUCGAACUUCUUCAAAGUCUGUGGAAGUCUAACUACAAAGUCCAUAGUGAUCCUCUCCCACUUCCACUAAAGAAUAACCAUCUGUUGAAGCAAGCUACCCGGUCUGUGAAGCUCAUAUUUCACCUGCUGAUAAUUGAGACACCGAGCUACAAAUCCCACAAUAUAUUUCUUCCUUCUUCUCUACCAAUAGUGCUGCCUCAAAUCCUAAUACAUUAUCGCGGCACACAAAUGAAUGGAAUAUAGCGAGAUGUCGGCCUCCUCUAGAAUCAACUCCCGAAGCUUAUCUGUAUUGGGCACAUAAAUUCGGCCAUGUAUCCUUGAAACCCUAUCAUCACCAGUGGUCACAUCUCUAGCAUCAACAUGCUAAACUCUGUCCUUAAGAAUAAGCAAAUGCGGAUCAUCAUACUGGCACUCUCUGAUGCGAUCAUAUAAGAAUGGCUAAGAAAUAACACAAGCCAAUAUCUGACUGGGCUCCGAAACAUCCAACCUCACGAUACGAUUUUCCAAGGCCUGAACAUCAACUGCUAGAGGUCUCUCCCUAACUAAUAUGUCAAACUCCCCAUACUCACUGCCUUUCGGCUCAAAGUAUCAUCCACAACAUUGGCCUUUCCCGGAUGGUAGAAUAUAGUGAUAUCAUAAUCCUUAAGCAACUCCAACCAUCUCCGCUGUCUCAAAUUAAGAUCCUAUUGCGAAAGACUGCGAUGAUCAGUGAACACCUCACAAGAUACGCCAUACAAGUAAUGCCUCCAAAUCUUCAAUGUGUGAACCAUGGUAGCCAACGCCAAAUCAUGGACGAGGUUAUUCUUCUCAUGGGGCUUCAACUGACGGAAAGCAGAACCAAUAACUCUACCCUCCUACAUCAAGGCACAACCAAUCCCAACUUUCAAAUCAUCACAAUACACGGUAUAUAAAUCUGAAGCUUAUAGCAAAACCAACACAAGAGAAGUGGCCAAGGCUGUCUUGAGCUUUUGAAAGCUCUCCUUACACUCAUCCGGCCAUUUAAAUGAAGCAACCUUCUAAGUCAACUUGGUCAAGGGCGAUUCAAUAGAUGAGAAUCCCAGAAUAAACUGGCGAUAAUAGCCUACCAAAUGGAGAAAGCUAUGAAUCUUUAUAGCUGAGGACGAUCUAGGCCAACUCUGAACUGCCUCUAUCUUCUUCGGAUCAACCUGAAUACCCUCGCUGGACACCAUGUUUCCCAAUAAAGCCGCUGAACUGAGCCAAAACUCACACUUGGAGAAUUUUGGAUUAAGCUUCUCCUCCCUCAAUCUCUGUAACACAACUAUAAAAUGCUCUGUGUGCUCCUCCUGACUAGGUGAAUACUCCAAAAUAUCAUAAUUGAAGACUAUGAUGAAUGAAUCGAGAUAAGGUUAUAACACGUUGUUCAUCAAAUGUAUGUACGUUGCUGGGGCAUUAAUCAACCCAAAAGACAUCACUAAGAACUCAUAGUGACCAUAUCAAGUCCUAAAAGACUUCUUAAGAAUAUCCAAAUCCCUGAUCUUCAAUUGGUGAUAGCCUGAAUGGAGAUCAAUCUUUGAGAAUACUCUCGAUCCUUGAAGCUAGUCGAAUAAAUCAUCAAUUCGAGGGAAAGAAUAUGUGUUUUUAAUUUUUACCUUGUUCAACUGCCUAUAAUCAAUGCAUAUCCUCGUUAUUCCAUCUUUAUUCUUCACAAACAGAACCGGCGCACCCCAAGGUAACACACUAGACCGAAUGAACCCCUUAUCUAGGAGUUCCUAAAGCUUCUCCUUUAACUCCUUCAACUCCGCUGGUUCCAUACGAUAUGACGGAAUAGAAAUGGCUGAGUGCCCUACACCAGGUCAAUACCAAAAUUAAUACCCUUAUCCAGUGGCAUGCUCGGUAGUUCUGCAAGAAACACAUCGGGAAAAUCCCUCACAACUGAACAUAAUCAAUAGUGGGAGUCUUUACUCCGAAAUCCCCCAUAAAUGCUAGAUACAAGAGAAAACCCUUCUCAACCGUACGCUCGGCCUUUAAGAAAGACAUUACUUUACUAGGAACAUAAUCAGUCACACCUCCCACUCGAUCCGCGGCAAAUCUGGCAUAGCCAAUGUGACAGUCAUAGCAUGACAAUCUAGAAUAGCACGAUGUGGAGAUAACAAAUUCAUUCCCAAAAUGACAUCGAAAUCCACCAUACUUAAUAACAAUAGAUCCACUUGAGUCUCUAGACUCCAAUAGUCACCACAUAUGACCGGAACACACGGUCUACAAUAACAGUAUCGCCCAUCAGGGUAGAUACGUGAUGUAAAGCAAGAAAUUGACGGGGCAUAUCCAAAUAAUGAGCAAAAUACGAGGACACAUAAGAAAGGGUGGAAUGGGGAUCAAAUAAUACAGAGGCAUCUCUAUGGCAGAAUGAAACAAUACCUUUAAUAACAGCAUUUGAAGCAAUAACAUUGGGUCUGCCUAGGUGUGCAUAGAAAUGGGCCUGACCGCCCUUAGAUCGGCCUCCCCCUAUAAGCGACCCCUGGCUGGCUAACCUCCACCCCUAGCUGGUUUGGCAGGUGGUGAAGAAGCAAUUGGCGCUAAAGACGAUGAUAGACCCCUCUGCUGAGAUGAACUAGCAAAAUGACGAGGACACUUCCUCCGCAUGUAACCCAUCUCACUACAUUCAUAACAACUCCUAGGUAUUGGAGAAGGGGACUAAAAGGAACCCCUCGCAAUGGAGGGACUAGCAGAUGCACUUGGCAUAGAAAAGCCUUAAACUGAUGGAGCACGGGAUGAACUCGGAGCUGGAAGGGCUUUAAGUGAUGACUGUGCCUACUGAGAACUUCCAUGACCGUGAUGCAAAGGUGCCCCACGAUAACCUAGGUGAGCUGACUAAGUAGACCUGAAUGGACCACCUCUACCGUGCGGAAACUGACCCCUCGAAGGAGCACUACUAUAGCUACCAGAUCCUUGAGGCCUCUUGGCCUCCCUCUCCUUUUGCUCCUAGCGAUAAGUAGACGCAACCUCACGGGCGAUAUCCACAACCUCCUCGAACAUAGCACCAGAUACCCUCUACCUGUUCAUGGAAAUACGAAGCUAAUAAUUGAGACCAUCAACAAACCUCCUAAUCCUCUUCCGAUCUGUCGGAACCAACAAGAUAGAAUGACGAGCCAACAUGGAGAACCUCAACUCAUAUUGCAACACGGUCAUCUCCCACUAACACAACAAUUCAAACUGCCUACACAACUCCUCUAUACAAGACUGUGGUACAUACUUCUCUAUAAAGAGAAUUGAGAACUGCUUCCAGGAAAGGGGUGCUGCACAAACAAGCCUACGCCUCUCAAAAUCCUCCAACCAAGCAAAAAAAACUCCUGAAAACUGAUAGGUGGUAAAAAGUGACCCCGCUGGUCUCCAGAAUACCUACAGUAUGAAGCAUCCCAGACACUUAUCCAAAAAUCCUAGGCAUCCUCUGCCCUCUAUGCCAUUGAAGGUCGGAAGCUGCAAUCUACCAAACUCUCCAAACUACGGUACUCAUCCUCCAGCUUGAAAGGAACUACAUAGUCCUGAGCAGCUGUAACCGGUUGGGCUAGAUGCGCCCCCAGCAUCUGAAGUCCCUGCACGACCUGCUCAUGUGUACGAGUGGCGGUGGUCAGAUUGCCUCUCCCGGCCUGAGAAGUAGUUGUGGCUGAAAUCGCCUGAGCCAGGCUAGUGCAAACUGAUAAGAUCUGUGCCAAGUCCUCCUGAAGACCCGGAGUCACAAUAGGCACAACUGGUGCAUGAGCUGGUGUUGCUGGAGCGUCCAUGGCUAGGACCUAGUCCUAAACUGGGGUAGCCAAUGAAUCUACAGGUGCUACCCUUGCUACUCUGCCUCUACCACAACCACGACCACGACCACGACCGAGUCCUCGGCCUCUGGUGGCCACAUCUAGUGGCACUGGUGAUCAUCCACCCUAUUCAGUAGCACGUGUCCUUGCCAUUUGUGAGAGAGUAGAAUAACAUAAGUUUAGUACCCAGAUCAACAAGUUUGAAUAACAAGAAUUUCAAGAGUUUGAUGUUUUUCCUAAUGGUUCUGCAGCCUGUCGAGGAUAAAUACAGACAUCUCCUUAUCAAUCUGCAAGACUCUACUAGACCUGCUCAUGACUUGUGAGACCUAUGUAACCUAGGCUCUGAUACCAACUUGUGACGGCACUAAACCCGGACCCGAUUGUAAUGGUGCCUCUCGUAAAGGCGAGGCCAACCAACACCUCCCAUUUUCCAUUUAUGAACAGGUAAGCAUUAAGAAUAGCAUAAAAUUGAUAAAAUAACUCCAAAAUAACAUAUAAUAACAUAAAUACGAGGAAAACACCCAUGCACAAUCCUAAUCGGGAUGUCACUUGUCAUGAGCAUCUAUAAGUCAUGAUACAAUUUUGCUAAAUCCAUAAACUAGUACAAAUGUCUGAAAGGAAAUAGAAGCGAUAAAGGAGUAGAGACACGGGACUGCGGAUGUCAAUGCUACCUCGUGAAUUCCAAACGUCCGCCUGAAGUUAGAGGGAUCAGCACUCGGGAGCAGAACCAACUACGCCUGAAUCUGCACCCAGGUUGCAGGGAGUAAAGUGAGUACUCCAACUCAGUGAGUAUAAAUGUAAAUAAUGACUGAAAGUGAAAAAAACACGUAAGGCACAAGGUAUUUUAUAAUGAAAUAGUAAACCCGUUCAAAAUAGUAAACUAGUGUAAAGUUAAGUGAAAUCCUUUUUCAUCAAGUAAUAAAGUAGUUGACAGGUAGUUAAGCAGAGUACACAUAUAGAAAUUCACCCCUCGAGCAGAGUAGCAACAAAUCCUCCCCUCGGGGAACAUCUCAGAACAAUACCAUCCCCUCGAUCUCAAUCUCACAUCACAAUGGGUACCCGCGCUGACUAGGGUGUGCAGAUACCUAGAGGGGCCCCUUACGGCCCAAGCGCAAUAACAAGCCAUCUCAUGUAAUCAAAACUAGGCCCUCGGCCUCAUAUUAAUCAAACAACCUCGUGGUGUACAUAUCUCAGGACCACGGCCUCAAAUCAGUAUAAGUGUGUUCCUCACAACAUAGGCCAUCGGCCUUACUCAUUAAAAAAUCCUCACAAGCCCCUCGGGUAAUAGUAAUACAGUGUUUCUCAUCCCAAACAUAAUUUAGAAUUUCAAUGAAGUUUUAAAACUGAGUAAACAUGACUGAUAAUGAAAACAAUGAGAAAGAACAUGACUAACUUCAGGUUUAUAUAAUCAAAACAAUGAUGAAAUACCAAUAAAAAGCUCGAAAGGGUACAAAUAGUUGGCACUAGGACCAAAUAUGGCGUUCCACCCAACUAAUAAUAAUAAAUAGAUUUAAAUCAAACACGCGAUAAAAUCAUCAAUCAAAACGGACCAAAUCAAAAUCCCCAAUAGUGCACGACCCCACACUCGUCAUCAAGCGUGCCUCACCUCAACAUAUCACUACGAUAUGCAAUCCGGAGUUUCAAAUAAUCAGAACAUCCUUUACCAUCAUUACUCACCUCAAACCGGUCAAAUCUCUAACUCGCAAUGCCUUUGCCCCUCGAAUCCGCCUCCACUCAUGUCAAAUCUAUCCAAAAUCAGAACGAGGACAUUAAAACAUAAUAAGGGAAUGACACCCAAUCAAAAAUGACACAACUCCCAAAAUUACCAAAGCUCGACACUGGGGCCCACGUCUCAGUAUUUAAUAAUUUUUACAUCAAUAGAUUUCUGAUCUCCCCACGAGUCUAUACAUAUCAAGAACACUGAAACCGGAUUCCAAAUGACCCCUCAAAUUCCCAUUUAAAGGCCUCUUAAACUCAAGCCCUGAUCCCCAAUUUUCUUCCUUAAUUUCAACUAAUACCAUGAUUAAACAAUGAAAAAUGAUAUUAAACCCAACUAAUUAAUCUUGGGAAACUUACCUGGAUGAUAUCCUUAGUUUCCUCUUGAAAUCCUAUGCCUUAGCCUCUUUUCCCGUCUUCAGAGUGAUGAACUUAACAAAAUUUCGCGAAGAAGACAAUAUAUUCCUUUUGGCCAUGGAUUUCCGCAUCUGCGACCAUUCCACCGCUUCUGCAGCACGACAUAUGCGGUUACUCCUCUGCUUCUGCGGAAAUCACAUAAGUUCCGAGCCAUCCACAAUCUGUGAUUUCGAAGAUGCGGUUCUCCUAGCCUCUUCUGCGGUCUCAGUCAAACAUACCUCAGGCCGCUUUUGCGGCCCCUCUCUUGCAUAUGCUGCACCGCAUCUACGGUCCCCAACCCGCAAGUACAAAAAUACCAGAAGAAGCAAUUCAGCAGCUGCAACAACAAUCCAAACUUCCCGUCAACCAUCCAAAAUCACCCUGAGGCCCUCGGGACCUCAACCAAAAUCACAACAUACCCUAAUACCUUAUUCAAACUUGUUUUAAUCAUCAAAACACCCCAAACAACAUCAAAUCACCCAAAACACAAUAGAUUCAAGCCAAACUUUCUGAAAUCUUUGGAAUUCCAUUUUUGAUAAAAAAUCCAACCAAACCAUGUCCAAAUGACCUGAAAUUUUACUCACACAUCCCAAAUGACCCAGCGAAACUACUUCAACACUUAAAAUUCCGUUUCGAUCCAUAUAUAAAAUCUCUCCUACCCAUCGAAAAUUCCCGAAAUAUCAACUUCAUCAAUUCAAGCCUAAAUCCACUCUGAACCUCUAAACCCUAUUCUGAUCACACUCCUAAGUCAGAAAUCACUUACCGAAGCUAUCCAAACCAUCGAAAUUCACAUCUCAACCCUCUAACACAUAAAUUAACAUCUGGUUGAUUUUUUCAACUCAGACUUCCUCAAAAGAGUCUAAGUGUCUCAAACCUUACUAAAUUUAUUUCGGAUACGAUUCGACCAAUCCUGAUACCAUAAAACACGGAUACCAAGGCUUAAAAAAGUGGAAAUAGGGAAAAUGGAAUGGCAACUCAUGGGAUGACUGUCCUGGUCAUCACAAAAAUAGAAUGAACCGUGAUCUCUUUGGAAUAGUAAAUGCUUCAUUGGGAAGUUAAAUGGUUGGUAUGUCCGUAUUGUGAUAGUAAAUAGGGAGUUAUGGAUUGAACGGUGCUAUACAGUGGAUAUUGAAAGGUGGUAACCCUGAUAUAUAUGCAUCAGUAGCUUCAACUACAUCAUCAUCCACAUCCACCAUUUUUUUGUUAGAAGUCUUACAUUGAUAAUUUGUUAGAAGUAUUACGCUGAGAAUUUAUUAUAAGUCUUACAUGAACAGGAACGAAAACAUGCUAUUGUAUUUAUUAAAUAAAUUUUACACUGAUUUUACAUUAAUGCCAAUUCCGAAAAAAUUAGAUAGUGUAUUUAUCAAAACAAUAUUGGCAUCUGAAACCAUUAAAUACAAUGCAACUAACACUAAUACAACUUGAAAAUCGAAAAAAGCAAUUAAAUACAAUAUUUCCAAAAUGCAUACACAACGAUUCAGAAAAAGAAGAGCAACAGUUAAUGCGUCCUUUUCUACUGGUAAGAAGAAGAGUCACAAGUAAAUUAAUGCGUACACAUCAACUAGGAAGAAGAAGAGUUGCAGGUAAAACAAUUUGGAGAUCAUCACCGGAUGAAAUACACUAUGUGCGAACUAAUUCAAAACUUAUAAAUAACUACGGUAGGUUAGAAGGUAGGGAUUUGUGACAACCCGUCCAGUCGUCUCAUGAGUUACCAUAUCUAUUAUUCCAAUUUUUGCUUCUUUACGCUUUGUUAUAUGUGUUUUGUGGUAUCGAAUUGGUCGGAUGUCCGGAAUUAUUUUCGUAAGGUAUGAGACACUUAGUCUCUUUUAAGGAAGUUUAAGUUGGAAAAGUCAACCGAAUAUUGACCUAUGUGUUGGAGGGCGCGGAUGUGAAUUUUGAUGGUUCGGUUAGGUCUGAGAGGUGAUUUAAGGUUAUGAGUGUGAUCAAAAAGGGUUUUGGAGGUCUGGAGUAGCUUUGGGCUUGAAGUGGCGAAGUUGAUAUUUUUGCAAUUUUUGGUUGGCAGGCGAGAUUUUUAUGUAAAGGGUCGAAAUGGGAUUUCGAGAGUUACAGUAGAUUCGUUGUGUCAUUUGGGAUAUGUGUGAAAAUUUUCAGGUCAUUCAAACGUGGUUCAAUUAGAAAGUUUGGAUUGAAUCUGAUGUGUUUUUGGUGAUUCAAUAUUGUUUGAGGUGUUUUGGUGACUGGAAAAAGUUUGAAUAUGAUAUUGGGUUAUGUUUGGGCUUUUGGUUGAGGUCCCGGGGGCCUCGGGGUGAUUUCAGAUAGUUAACAGAGGAGAUUAGAUGUUAUUGCAGCUGUUGAAGUUUGCCGCUUCUGGUGAUUUCGCACUUGCGGUUUAAGGACCACAAAUGCGGCACUGCAUAUGUGAUGGAAUGGAUGAAGAAGCAGAUUAUGAGGAUUUGUCUAGGACAACAAAAGCGGUCAGUAUGGUCGUAUCUGCGACGCAAAUGUAGAUAGCGUAUCAUAGAUGCGACUUUUGGGAUGUUAGUGAUUUUUGCAAAUUAGAGGAUUUAACCGCAAAUACGGUAUUGCGGAUGCAGUUGAAGCACCGCUGAGGCGAAAAGAACCAGGCGGAAGAAUUAAAAACAGUCCUUCACGAAUAUUGGAUUAGUUCACAAUUUUUAGACUUCGACUUGGAGCUUUUGAGGCAAUCUGAAAGAGCGAUUUUAAGGGAACUUCAUUGAGGUAAGGAACUUUGACUCGAAAUGCAUUCCUAUGCAUUAUUUCAUGUAUUAGAGCUAAAAAUUAAGGAAACUAAGGGUGAAAUUUGGGGUAACUUCGACUUAGAAUUGGACACUUAUGAUUGAGGGUUUGAUGGACCAUUUGAGGACAAAUUUGAGAACUUUUUAUAUGUAUGAAAUCGUGGGGAGAUGAGAAAUCUAUUGAUGUAAAAUUUAUGAAUUUUGAUUGUUUUCACUUGGGCUUUUUUCCCUUAGCAUAUUUUGAUGUCCUUGUUCUAAUUUUUGAUAGAUUCGACACCCGCGGAGGCCGAUUCAAGGGGGAUAGGCAUCAUGAGCUAGAGAUUUAGUUGGUUUAAGAUGAGUAAUAAUUGUAAAUGAUGUUCUGAGGGUUUGAAACCCCAGAGUGCACAUCAUAGUGCUAUUUUGAGGUGAGGCACAUGCUUGAUGACGAGCUUGGGCUCGUGCACUAUUGGGGAUUGUGACUUGGUCCUUCCCGAUUGAUGAUUUUACCGUGCAUUUGGUUUAACACUAAUUGCUAUCAUCAUUAUUUGGGUUGAAUGCCAUAUGUGGGCCUAGUGUCAACUAUUUGAAUCCCUUCAGGGCUUUUUAUUUAUAUUUCCUCACUGUUUUGACGUAUUACUUGAACUAGGUCAUGUUAUUUUUUACUGUUUUCAUACUCAACCAUGUUUACUCAGUUUUAAGACUUAAAUGAUAUUUUAAAUGAUGUUUGGGAUGAGAAACACUAUUUAACUGUUGCCCGAGAAUUUUGUGAGUAUUUUUGACUAAAUAAGGCCGAUGGCCUAUGUUGUGAGGAAACAUUAAUACCGAUUUGAGGCAGAGGGCCUGAGAUAUGUAAAGUACAAUGUGGCUUGAUUGACAUGAGGCCGAAGGCCUAGGCUGGGGACGUGAGGCCGAGGGCCUAGUGUGUACCUAUUGUGAUGUGAGAUUGAGCCCCAGGGGCUGAUACUAUUUUGAGAUAUUGCUCGAUGGGCGAAUUUGUGGAUACUGUACCCGAGGAUUUAAUUUUUAUUUGUUUGCUUUACCCUAGCUACAUGUCAAUAACUUGUUUACUUGUUGAAAGAGUAUUUUACUUGACUUUUCACUGGUUUACUGUUUUCAAAUGAUUUUAGUUCUUCAUUAUAGAAUGCCUUGUGUAUUAUGUGUUUUCUUACUUUCAGUAAUUUUUUACACUUGUUACUCACUGAGUUGGAGUACUCAAUUUACUCCCUGCACCCUAUGUGCACAUGUAGGCAUAGCUAGUUCUGCUCCCAAGGGCUGAUUCCUCCAACUUCAAGCGAGCUUCCAGAGAUUACGUGGUAGCCUGUUCUGAAUGCUUAACUGCUAAUAAUUGGAAAAUGUGAGGUGUUGGCUAACCUUAUCUUUACGAGAGGUGCUAUCACGACGAGGUCAGAUUUAGGGUCGUGGUAAGUUGGUAUUAGAGGCUAGGUUACAUAGGUCUCACGAGUUAUGAGCAGGUUUAGUAGAGUUUUGUAGAUCGGGAAGGAGAUGCCUGGAUUUAUCCUCGAGAGGCUGCAGAACCUUUUGGAAAAAAUUAAUAUGUUGUCGUGCGAACUUGUUCAUCUGAGUACUAAACUUUUUUUAUUCUAUCUUCUCACAGAUGGUGAGGACAUGCGCUACUGGACAAGGUGGAUGACCAUCAGUGCCACCGGCUAUGGCCACCAGGGGCCGAUGACAUGGUCGUAGUCAUGGUAGAGGCAGAACAGCGAGGGCAUCACUUACAGAUCCACCUGUUACCCCAGCUCAGGAUUAAGCUCCAGCUAUGGAAAAUAUAGCAGCACUAGUUCAAGCAUCAACUGUGCCCACCCUGAUUCCGCGUAUUCAGGAGGCCUUGGCUUAGAUCCUAUCGGUUUGCACUGGCCUGGCUCAGACAGUUUCUGCUACUACAGCUGCAGCUAGUUCUCAGGCCGAGGGAGGCAUUCAGACUCCUGUCACUCGCACACCUGAAUAGGUCGUGUAGGGGCUUCAAAUUUUGGUGGCACAUCCACCAUAGUCGGUUAUAGCUGCUUAAGGCUAUGUUGUUCCUGUCAUGCCGGAGGAUUAACAGCAUAUGUUGGAGAGAUUUGGUAGAAUGCAGGCUCCGACCUUUAGUGGUGCAGAUGGUGAGGAUGCCCAUGGCUUUUUCGAUAAGUGUGAGAGGAUUCUUUGUACUGCAGGUAUUCUGGAGACCAGCGGGAUCGCUUUUACUACCAAUCAGCUUUCAGGAGCUACUUUCAUUUUGUGGGAGGAUUUUGAGAGGAGUAAGCAUGUCGCUAUAGCACCCUUUUCCUAGCAGCAGUUCUCCAUUCUCUUGUUUGAAAAGUAUGUGCCGCAGUCUCACAGAGAGGAGCUACAUAAGCAGUAGAAAUGGUUGCGUCAGGGGGAUAUGACUGUGGCGUAGUAUGAGUUGAGGUUUUAUGUGUUGGCUCGUCAUGCCAUCUAGUUGGUUCCAAUAGAUCGAGAGAGGAUCAAGAGGUUAGUUGAUGCUCUUACUUACCAGCUCCAUAUUCUUAUGACAUGGGAGAGGGUAUCUGGUUCUACUUUCAUGGAGGUAUUUGAUUUAUCCUGUGAGAUUGAGUUUGUUCAUCGUCAGAAGUGAGAGAAGGGGGAGGCCAAGAGGCCUUGAGGAUCUAGUAGCUAUAGUGGUACUCCUUCGAGGGAUCAGUUUCAGCACGAUAGAGGUCGUCCAUUUAGGUCUACGCAACCAGCUCGCCUAGGUUAUCGUAGGGAAUCUUUGGGUCAUUGUUUUAGUCGGGAUAGUCAUCACUCAGUGCUCUUCAAGCUCAGAGUUUGACCCGUGCUCCAUCAGUUCAAGGCUCUUCCAUAGCGAGUGCAUCUGCUAGUCACUCUAGUAUGAGGGGUUUCCUUCAUUUCCCUUCUCCAUCACCUGGGAAACGUUAUGAAUGUGAUGAGAUGGGUCACAUAUGGAGGCAGUGUCCUCAUCGUUUGCCAGUUCAACUGAGCAGUGAUGUUAGUUAUCAGCAUUAGUGCCAGUUUCAUCACCACCGCCCGCACAGUCAUCUCGGGGUGGGGGUCAGUAAGCUAGGCGUCGCCCCAGAGGAGAAGGUCAAUCAGGGGAUGGUCAGGCCUAUUUCUAUGCACUCCCAGGCAGAACCGAUGUUAUUGGUUCAGAUGCUGUUAUUACAUGUGUUAUUCAGUCUGCCAUAGAGAUGCCUCUGUAUUAUUUGAUCCCGAUUCCACCUUUUUAUUAUGUGUCAUCAUAUUUAUCUCAUUAUUUGGAUAUGCACCAAGAGUUUUUUGCUUUACCUGUUCAUGUAUAUACCCCGGUUUGUGAUAUUGUUGUCGUAGACCAUGUGUACCGGUCGUGUGUGGUGACUUUAAGGGAUUUUGAGACCAGAGUGGAUCUAUUACUAUCGAGCAUGGUGGAUUUAAAUGAAAUUUUGGGCAUGGAUUGGUCAUCUCAGUGCCGUGCUAAUCUGGACUAUCAUGCUAAGACAGUCAUAUUGGCUAUGAUGGGUGUGCCACGGAUCGAGUGGCGAGGUGUGACUAAUUAUUUCCCUAGUAGAGAGAUCUCUUUCUUGAAGGCCCGGUGUAUGGUUGUGAAUGGUUUUCUUUCAUAUCUAGCAUUUGUGAGGGAAGUUGGAGCUGAGACUCCCAGUAUUGAUUUUGUUCCAGUUGUGAGGGAUUUACUGAUGUGUUUCCUGCAGACCUACCGGGCAUUCCACUAGAUAGGGAUAUUGAUUUUGGCAUUGACACGGUGUCCGGCACUCAGCCUAUUUCUAUUCUGCCAUUUCGUAUGGCACUAGCGGGUUUGAAGGAGUUAAAGGACAAGCUUAUGGAACUCCUAAAUAAGGGGUUCAUGCGGCCUAGUGUGUCACAUUGGGGUGCGCUGGUUCUAUUAUUGAAGAAGAAGAUGUCAAAAUGAGAAUGUACAUUGAUUUGAUGCAAUUGAACAAGGUAACAAUUAAGAACAAGUAUCAUUUGUCUCACAUUGAUGAUUUACUCGACCAGCUUCAAGGAGCGAAGGGGUUCUCCAAGAUUGAUCUCCUUUCAGGUUAUCACCAAUUGAAGAUCACGUAUUUUGGAUACUCUGAAGAUGGCCUUCAGGACCCGAUAUAGUCAUUAUGAGUUCUUGGUGAAGUUCUUUGGGCUGACCAAUGCCCUAGUAGCAUUCAUGCAUUUGAUGAACAACCUGUUCCGGCCUUAUUUCGAUUCAUUUGUCAUAGUCUUAAUUGAUGAUAUUCUGAUGUAUUCGCGUACUCAGGAGGAGAACACAGAGCAUUUGAGAGUUGUGUUGCAGAGAUUGAGGGAGGAGAAGCUUUUUGCAAUAUUCUCCAAGUGUGUGUUUUGGUUCAGUUGAGUGGAUUUCUUGGGGCACGUGCUAUACAGCGAGGGUAUUCAGGUUGUUCCGAAGAAGAUAGAGGUGGUUCAGAGUUGGCCCAGACCGUCCUUAGACACAGCGAUUCGGGGCUUUUUCGGUUUGGCAAGCUAUUAUCACAGGUUUUUUUAGGGAUUCUCAUCUAUCGCAUAGCCCUUUAUCAAGUUGACUCAAAAAGGUGCUUCAUAUGUAUGGUCAGACGAGUGUGAGGAGAGCUUUCAGAUGCUGAAGACAACUUUGACCACAACUCCAUUAUUGGGUUUGCCAUCAGCUUUCGAGAGUUGGGAUUGGUUGUGUGUUGAUGCAGGAGGGUGGAGUUAUUUCUUAUGCUUAUCGUCAGUUGAAGCCCCAUGAGAAGAACUACACCGUUCAAGAUUAUGACUUGGCUUCCAUAGUUCACGAAUUGAAGAUUUGGAUGCAUUACUUGUAUGGUGUAUCUUGUGAGGUGUUCACUGAUCAUCGCAGUCUUCAGCAUUUGUUCAAGCAAAAGAAUCUUUAUUUGAGACAGCGGAGAUGGUUGGAGUUACUUAAGGAUUAUGAUAUCACUAUAUUGUACCAUCCGGCAGAGGCCAAUGUGGAUGCCGAUGCUUUGACCCGAAAGGCAGUGAGUAUGGGGAGUUUAGCAUGUAUUCCAAUUGGGAGAUACCUCUUGAAGUUUAUGUUCAUGCCUUGGCCAAUUGGUUCGUGAGAUUGGACAAUUCGGAGCUUAUCUUUUGUGGUUUUUCUGUCUUUCUUGUAUGAUCGCAUCAGAGAGUGCCAAUAUGAUGAUCUGCAUUUUCUUGUCCUUAUGGACAAAGUUCAGUAUGAUGAUGCCAGCGAUGUGACCAUUGGUGAUGAUGGGGUGUUAGGAUGCAUGGCUGGAUUUGUAUGCCCAAUAUGGAUUGGCUUCGGGAGUUGAUUCUGGAGGAGGUCCAUAGCUCACAAUAUUCCAUUUACCCAGAUGCUGCAAAGAUGUAAUUGGAGUUGAGGCAGCACGAUCGGUGGAGAAGGAUGAAGAAAGAUAUUAUGGGAUUUGUAGCUCCGUGUCUCAAUUUUCAGCAGGUAAAAUAUGAGCAUUAGAGACCGGGUGGUUUGCUACAGCAGAUGGAGAUUCGUGAGUGGAAGUGGGAGAGGAUCACUAUGGACUUUGUUGUUGGACUUCCAAGGGCUUUGAAGAAGUUCGAUACUAUUUGGGUGAUUGUGGAUCGGCUGACCAAGUCCGCGCACUUCAAUCCUGUCUGUACCACCUAUUCUUCAGAGCGGUUGGGCAGUGAUAUAUAUAUGAGAGAUUCUUUGCUUGCAUAGUGUUCCGGUUUCCAUCAUUUCAGAUUGAGGUACUAAGUUUACUUCACAAUUUUGGAGGUCCGUACAAAGAGAAUUAGGUACUUAGUGGAGUUGAGCAUAGUUUUUCAUCGGAUGAGUUCCUACCGCUUGCAGAGUUUGCUUAUAAUACUAGCUACCAGUCGAAUAUUCAAAAGGCUCUAUAUGAGGCUUUGUAUGGGAGGCGGUGUAGAUCUCUAAUUGGUUGUGUCACACCUCCUUUUUCCUACACCCUGUAAGGUAAUAAGGGAGUUCGUCCAAUUAAAGUGACAAUCCAAACGGGAUUAUUCAAUUAAAAAGAUUCAGAGUUGCCACUUUGGAUAAUUUAUGGUGUGCCAAGUCAUCAGUUCAAAUCCAAAAUCGAGGAAAAGAUUAACUCUAUUUUACAGUCAGAGAACACAAAUAUCUAGGUAAGGAAUUUUGUUAAUCCAUAGAAGGUGUAAGGCAUUCCCGAGCUCCGUGGUUCUAGCACGAUCGCUCAAGUAUUAUUAUUGGCCUCAUUAUCUGAUUUUAAAGCAUUUUUGAACCUAUGUGAAUUUUUCUUUGAAGCCGCUUUUAUUUAUUGAGGAUUUAGCAUCGACUAAAACAUGUCCUUUGAUCGCGCCACAUGAAAUGCACCCGCAAUCCGAAAAAUAUUUUAUUCAACGUUAUUAAGAUUUGGAUUUGGGCCACAUGAAAUGCACACAUGAGUUUAGGAAGGUAAUAUUAUUAAAAUAACAUACCUAAAGAAACUAUGCGUUUUAACUUUGCGAGGGCCAUAAAAAAUUUGCUAAACGACACACCUCGAAUUUUAAGGAUUUUAAAAGAAAUAAUUAAAUGAGGGCCACGCAUUUGAGAUUUUAUUUAGCGCGGCGCACCUCAAUUUCGAUUUUUAAAAGGGAAUUCAAACUACACUUUGGAGGGCCAUAAACUAUUUAUUAUCUAGUAUGGUUCACCCCCACUAAUUAUAGAAACUCAACUACCUAAAUAUUAAUGGGUAAGUAUUUCAAGCUAAGAGAAUACAUUUUAAUUAAGAAAGGAGCUAAAUGGUUCAAAGUUAAAAUUUGGGCCCACCACGAUGCCCAAUAGCCUAUAGAUGCAGUGCCCUUUUGAAUUACAAAUUAUCAUUAAUCCAAGCUAAGGUCCACGAGGGAACCCAAAUUGAACCAAGAUCGGAUUCAGCAAGAAAUCGGGUCCAUGGUUUGAUCCCACAAAUCAACACAAGGGGUCAGUUUUUGCAUUCAAUUCUACAACCCACGUUACUUUUCCUUAGGGGAUUAAACAAUUUCUAAUUUUACACACUUAUAGACACCUUCCAUGCGAAUACUAUAAUCAAACAUCAAUGCAUGUCUAAAUUAAACAGCAAUCCGAGAGUCAUUCUUGAGACUAACACAUAAUUGUUCAAGUGACAUGCUCACAUCAAUCGAUUCACCAUGAUGCAAAAAUCCAAUAGUGUCUUAUGACCGUUCAUAAUUAGAAUCUUAACUUAGAAUUAACAAUGAACCUUCAAAUCUAAAGGAAGAAGAAUGAUACACAUUUGAAGGUUGAUGAGCUAAUUUAGAUGCGUAAGUAUUGUCAGUACUUUUACUUAGCCAAGCAAAGAAAUUAGAGCUAAUUCCAAACCCUUAACAUAACAAAUGCACUUAGAUUCCAUUUGAUAAGAGAUCUACAUAAUAAUCUAUAACAUGAUUCCACAGACUAAAUGAAGUGAAAAUCAAAACUAGCUUAGCUUCAAACUUUUAUCAUAGCUAUUCAUAUACGACCAAUUCACUUUUUAGGAAAUAACAUAGAUCAAAGCCCCAAUUGAAUUUAAUCAACAAGUUAACCAAUCCAAACUCUGCAUGCUUUUUCGUAGUUCAGAAUUUAAUAUUCACACUUUCAAAGGAUACUAGUUCAUCUAGAAAACUAAACUCUAUAUUUAUUACAGAUAUAAAUGAGAAAAAAUAGAAGGAGAAAAACUUAAAUCAACUUCAUAUUCAUUCAAAAUUCCAUUGGAACAUGAAACUCUACAACCACUGGCUCUCCAUAGUUUAUAGGUUUACUUGGAGAUUGAAAGGGAAUAUAGAAAUGAGUAAUCAGUGGUUGAGCACCAAUAUGCAACAGAAAUAACCAAGAAAAUUAGCUCCAAACCCCAAAUGGUAUGCAGUAAUCCCAAAGAAAAAGGUUCUGUAGAACCAGAACCCAGCCAACUUGGAACCAAACUUUAAUACCAAACUUUAAACCAAAUCCAAAUCAUUUUAAAAUCCUACAAGGAAGAACUACUAUUUUUCAAACUUUGAAAAGAAUAAAAAUUUUACAGGAAUUCAAUGUAACACUAGAACUUGUUUGCCCUUUGUAUUUUCUUAAAACUAAUCUCUAAAAUCUCUUUCUGAAUAGCAAGGAACUGAUGUCUUCAUAGGCAAGAAAAUAGGGCAGCCCUAAGGAAAUAGUUUUUGCAACUAUGCCCUUUUCCAAUUUUUUUUUUCUUAGCUAGCAUUAAUUAGUUUCCAAAGUUUCAAAAUAAUCUCAAAGUCAGCUUCCAAGAAGCUUCCAUUUCAGUUGCACCCUAGAUUCCUUAAACCAAUUUCCUAAAUUGCCCACCCAAUUCCCUGAUUUUACUCUCAUAAUCACCCGAGUCAACUAACCAACAAAUGGGUAUGCAUACCAAAUUAAAACCCCAACCAUACCCCUUUUGGGGCUUUCGACUUUCAGAAGCCCAAUUAGGAUCAAACUAGGAAUCCUUUAUUUUAAGAACUAAUCCAAAGUUUCCGAAAGAAAAGCCCCCAAAAAUCUUUUUAAAAUGUAAUCAAAAAAUGAUGAAGGCACAUGAAUCUAUUAUCUUAAGAUAAUAGCAAAAUUUAACUAAAUUAGACCUAUUUACAUUAACUAAGUGAAAAUUACGAAAAAGAACUUGAUCAUGAUUAACGAACUACAAAAAUAAAUAGAAAUCGAUUUCAUAAUGUAUAAAGGAGAAAGGAGAAAGGAGAAAAGGAAAACAAAAUAAAUGGUGAACAGGAGGGAAAUUUGAACUUAGAGGCGAAUUAGAUUAUUAUGAAAACUCAGUUAAAGAAAAGGAGAGAGGAGGAUAGUGGGAGAAAGAAAACAUAAAAGGGACAGGAAUUUACCAGAUCGGACCUUGAAACCAAACUGAAGCAAAACUUAACCAAACUUAUGUCGAAUCUGUUGUUCUUUGUCAAGAACAACUAAAUCGACAUCACAUUCAUCGAGUCAGACCCUCAAACUUUGAAAGAAAAGCGAUGCAUGCUACCAGGUUCGACGGAAGAUGAUUUUGAAUUUUUGGGUUGAACUCAGAUUUAAGAUUCAACGGGUUCAACGUUAAUUCGUGGGGUAUAGGUCAUGGAUUUGGAUAAAGGAGAUCAUGGUGAGCCUGUUGUGUGAUUUUUGUAGGGGAUGUAAUGGUUUGGGGCUGGGCCGCCGCCAGGAAGGCUGACGGAUUUGCGGGCGAGUAGAUUAAGUCUCUGGAAUUUACUUUUGGAGAAGAUGAGAGACGAUGGGGG
rnacentral:lncRNA from 1 species